rnacentral:rRNA from 1 species
UACGGGGGGAGCAAGCGUUGUUCGGAUUUACUGGGCGUAAAGGGCGCGUAGGCGGCCACCGCAAGUCGACUGUGAAAUCUCCGGCUUAACUCGGAAAGGUCAGCCGAUACUGCGGGCUAGAGUGCAGAAGGGGCGAACUGGAAUUCUCGGUGUAGCGGUGAAAUGCGUAGAUAUCGGGAGGAACACCAAUUGCGAAGGCAGCUCGCUGGGACGUCACUGACGCUGAGACGCGAAAGCGUGGGGAGCAA